AAUGGGUCAGCGACUUAUAUUCUGUAGCAAGGUUAACCGAAUAGGGGAGCCGAAGGGAAACCGAGUCUUAACUGGGCGUUAAGUUGCAGGGUAUAGACCCGAAACCCGGUGAUCUAGCCAUGGGCAGGUUGAAGGUUGGGUAACACUAACUGGAGGACCGAACCGACUAAUGUUGAAAAAUUAGCGGAUGACUUGUGGCUGGGGGUGAAAGGCCAAUCAAACCGGGAGAUAGCUGGUUCUCCCCGAAAGCUAUUUAGGUAGCGCCUCGUGAAUUCAUCUCCGGGGGUAGAGCACUGUUUCGGCAAGGGGGUCAUCCCGACUUACCAACCCGAUGCAAACUGCGAAUACCGGAGAAUGUUAUCACGGGAGACACACGGCGGGUGCUAACGUCCGUCGUGAA
rnacentral:rRNA from 1 species